UACGUAGGGUGCGAGCGUUGUCCGGAAUUAGUGGGCGUAAAGCGUGCGCAGGCGGUUCGUUGUGUCGGCGGUGAAAGCCCCGGGCUCAACCUGGGAAUGGCCGUUGAAACUGGCGAACUGGAGUGUGGCAGAGGGGGGUGGAAUUCCGCGUGUAGCAGUGAAAUGCGUAGAGAUGCGGAGGAACACCGAUGGCGAAGGCAGCCCCCUGGGCUGACACUGACGCUCAGGCACGAAAGCGUGGGGAGCAAACAGG
rnacentral:rRNA from 1 species